rnacentral:rRNA from 1 species
UACGUAGGUGGCAAGCGUUGUCCGGAUUUACUGGGCGUAAAGGGUGCGUAGGCGGAUAUUUAAGUCAGAUGUGAAAUACCCGGGCUUAACUUGGGUGCUGCAUUUGAAACUGGAUAUCUAGAGUGCAGGAGAGGAAAGUGGAAUUCCUAGUGUAGCGGUGAAAUGCGUAGAGAUUAGGAAGAACACCAGUGGCGAAGGCGACUUUCUGGACUGUAACUGACGCUGAGGCAUGAAAGCGUGGGGAGCAAACAGG